rnacentral:lncRNA from 1 species
AGCCACAGGGACAGGCCAGGCCUCACAGCCAAGAGCCCCGGGAAGAGCUGCAUGCACACGGCUGGAGAGAGGCUCUGCACCCGAGCACAGCCUGCUGCGACUCCUCAUAGACCCGGAAAACUGAUUAGAAGGCAGAGGGCCUCCUCCCUCCCUGCGUGGUUUGGGGGCUGUUCCUGAUAGCACAGAUGCCCUGAUCACAAACACCUGCCUGCAUUGCUGACCACAGGCCUGGCCUGGAGAAACCCACAGCCUCUUCAGGGAAGCGAGCAAGGGGCUUGGAAGUGCCUGAAGCCAGUGGGCUGGGGACUCACGGCCGGGACACUCAGGGCAGGCCGUGCGCCGUUUCUCCUGGAAUAACUGGAGGUGAUUUCAUGGAACCUGGAGGCUGGGCUUCAGGCUGGGGGGAGAGGCUCCAGACUGGGUCUUCUCCGUGGCUCUGCCCCCCGCUCUCCUUGCUUGAGUGGUGGGGGCCCUGCAUCCUCUCAUGCCCACCCCCACCUUUCUCGCCAAAUUGUCGGAGGCUUUUGUCACCUGGAGACACUGUUCCUGCCAGCUCCGGUCUUGGAAAACAUGGCCUCUCCUCUCCUGCCCUGGCCCCGGCCCCUCCUGCCAGCUGGACGUGGGCAUUUCUGCACCCAGUAGAACCCCACAGCCAGGAAAGAUGCCUGGAAGGCUAGAGAAGAGGCGUGAUGGGGGGACCCCAUGUGUGGCGACAGAGCAGCACACCCAGCUAUUCUCAGCCACCAUGUGGGAGAGAAAUGACGCCUCUGUCGAGCUCCCCAUGGCCGGAGCUGCUCCAUACAGCAUCCUAACCUUCACCCCCAACUACUCAGUUGCCAUGGCAAAGGGAAUAUUUUGACUCCCUUUUUUUAAAAUUUCCAGGUGAUUAUUGCUAGAGGAGUGGGAAGUUACUAAUUUUUGUAUAUUUAUCUUGUAUUAAAAUGUUUUUACUGAUUUUUAAUUUUAAUUUUAAUAUUUUUUGAGAUGGAGUUUCACUCUUCUGGCCUAGGCUGGAGUGCAGUGGUGUGAUUUCGGCUCGCUGCAACCUCCACCCAUGGGUUCAAGCGAUUCUCGUGCCUCAGACCCCCGAGUAGCUGGGAUUACAGGCAUGCACCACCACGCCCGGCUAAUUUUGUGUUUUUAGUAGAGACAGGAUUUCACUAUGUUGGUCAGGCUGGUCUCGAACUCCUGAUCUCAGGUGAUCUGCCCACCUUGGCCUCCCAAAGUGCUGGGAUUACAGGCGUGAGCCACCGCACCUGGCCUGAUUUUUAAUUUUUAAAUGAGGGAGCAGAGGCAUAACUAGGUUUACAAUCAUGUCAUCAACAAAAUAAAUUGUCUUAUUUUUCUGAUAUUUGUGCCAUUUAUUUGGUUUUUCUAUUAAGUUUGCCAGAACCUCCGAGAAAAUGCUGGACAAUUAUGACAGCAGCAGGCCCCACGAGUCGACCCUGGAUUUGUGACAUUUGUGUUUUCCACGUAGAACGAUCUUGGCCACUAUUGUGGACAGAGACUUUUGCACUUUUUUCUAUUUUACUAGAAAUAGUGCUUUUAUUCAUAAAGAUUGCUGAAUUUGGUCAGUUUUCUUUUCAGUACCUGUCGGUGAGGUUCUCUGAAUUUUCUGUGCUAAUUGGCUAAUGAAAUGACGUCUCUGAUGACUGCGCUGCCCUCGUAAGCCUGGCCUUCAUCUGCUUGGCCAUAACACGAUGCUGCCGACGCUGUGUUGGGUCCUAUUUGCUGUUCUCUUGUGUAGAAUCCGCCGACGCUGCGUUGGUUCCUAUUUGCUGUUCUCUUGUGUAGAAUCCGCUGAUGCUGCAUUGAGUCCUAUUUGCUGUUCUCUUACUUAGAUUUUUUUGCAUCUGCGAAAAGUGAUAUUUGUCUAUGGUUUUCUCUUUUUGUUCCACAUCAGGUUUUUGAAUUAGAUUAUCCUGGUUUCAUGAGAUGAAUUACAGAGUUUUCCAUCCUUUCAUGUCUUGGGAAGGUUAAAGUAACCCUGGGAUGACUUUCCUUCCAUGGAAGGUGAGGUCAUCGUCAGCUGCGGACAUCUGCUCCUGGUGCCUCCUUUCCUGGCUCAGCUCUCGCCCUCUCCAGCACCUCGUGCUCAUCUCUGCGUGGUGCCGCUCAUCCAGAGUCAUUCUGGACUUUACACCCACGACAACAUGGCUGCUGCAGGUUUCGAAGCAGCUGCCCCGGCCGAGCGGGCUGUCUCAUCAUUCCUCCAGCCUCUUCCAUACUGGGGUCUCUUUCUUCCUAAUCAUGUGUGGGUUUUUUUAUUUCAAUGUACAAAAAUUCUAAAUAGAGGUAGUCAUUUAUUUGUUUUAGUUUUUUUUUUUUUUUGAAACAGAGUCUCACUUUAUCACCCAGGCUGGAGUGCAGUGGGACGAUCUCAGUUCACUGCAGCCUCCACCUCCCGGAUUCAAGCAAUUGUUCUGUCUUAGCCUCCCAAGUAGCUGGGACUACGGGCACGCACCACCAUGCCCGGCUAAUUUGUGUAUUUUUGCAAAGACACGGUUUCACUAUAUUGGCCAGGAUGGUCUCAAACUCCAGGCCUCAAGUGAUCUGCACACCUCAGCCUCCCAAAGUGUAAGCAUUACAGGCGUGAGCCACCACGCCCAGCCUAGGCAGUCAUUUCUUGAUGCAGCUUUUGGGCUGGGCAAGGGGAUUUUAUUUUAUUUCUUUCAGAAAACAAUCAUUUCUCCUUUUUACUUAUUUGUUUUCUACUCAUUAAUUUCUGGCUUUAUCUUCAUAAUUCUCCCUACUUUUUAAAAUGCACUUUAUUGUUCUCAUUCUAGUUUCUUAGGGUGGCACAAAGUCCCUCUCGUUUAUUUUUUCCUCUAAAAAAUAAGAGCUGUGCUGGGGGCUCUGGGCGCUGCAUUAGCUGAGUCCUCGAUAUUUAUGGAUUGAUAUUUAUGGCUUCUCGGCUUUUCAGAGAGUGCACGUUCAGAUUUAAUAUCCU